AGAGUUUGAUCCUGGCUCAGAACGAACGCUGGCGGCGUGCCUAACACAUGCAAGUCGAACGUGAAAGUCCUUCGGGAUGAGUAAAGUGGCGCACGGGUGAGUAAUGCGUAGAUAAUCUGCCUGGUGAUCUGGGAUAACAUCUCGAAAGGGGUGCUAAUACCGGAUAAGCCCACGGAGUCUUCGGACUUUGCGGGAAAGGGGGGGACCUUCGGGCCUUCUGUCACCAGAUGAGUCUACGUACCAUUAGCUAGUUGGUGGGGUAAGAGCCCACCAAGGCUACGAUGGUUAGCUGGUCUGAGAGGAUGAUCAGCCACACUGGAACUGAGACACGGUCCAGACUCCUACGGGAGGCAGCAGUGGGGAAUUUUGCGCAAUGGGGGAAACCCUGACGCAGCAACGCCGCGUGAGUGAUGAAGG
rnacentral:rRNA from 1 species